GACGAACGCUGGCGGCGUGCUUAACACAUGCAAGUCGAGCGGUAAGGCCCUUUCGGGGGUACACGAGCGGCGAACGGGUGAGUAACACGUGGGUGACCUGCCCUCAGCUCUGGGAUAAGCCUGGGAAACCGGGUCUAAUACCGGAUAUGACUCCAUGACGCAUGUUGUGGGGUGGAAAGCCUUGUGCGGCUGAGGAUGGGCCCGCGGCCUAUCAGCUUGUUGGUGGGGNGAUGGCCUACCAAGGCGACGACGGGUAGCCGGCCUGAGAGGGCGACCGGCCACACUGGGACUGAGACACGGCCCAGACUCCUACGGGAGGCAGCAGUGGGGAAUCUUGCGCAAUGGGCGAAAGCCUGACGCAGCGACGCCGCGUGAGGGAUGACGGCCUGGUGUAAC
rnacentral:rRNA from 1 species